ensembl:lncRNA
CAAUACGUCAUGGCAGGAUUGUAAGAGGAGGCUGGGGGGCACCAUCGCUGGGGAAGAAUGGCAAACAAAAUGCACUCAUAGGACGCAAGAAGGAUGAGUAGAAGAAAAACGAGGAGAGUGUCUUCCGUGCUAAUUAGCCACGUAGCGCUGACGAAGAUGCGGGCCAGCGGGGCCAGACAGAGAGAGAGCUAUGGGCCUAUAGUGGGAACAGACCCAGCCAUACCUGAGUAGGGCCGGCCACGGCGGUAAUGAACCUCUUCACAUGGCCGUUCACCCAAAAGGAAAAGAGGUGGCUAAAGAAAGGAGGGCAGAGGAAGAGGAGGGGGCGCAGCCUAAUUUCACAGCCGGAGAAUAGCAGUGUACGCCGAACACACUGUGUGGCCAAACUCAGUGUUAUUCUGAGAAACAGUGAAUGAAAACACGCCACAGAGAAUGAAAACAAACCGCAGAGAAUGGAAACCGGUGAUGAAGAGGAUUGUGAAAUGAUGGUGUCGGCUGUGAGAACGCGGGCAGAUUUUUGGAUGGGUUAGCGUGAAAACCGUUAAUUUUGCACAAUUCUACAAACAUCAUCCCA